rnacentral:rRNA from 1 species
CAGUCGCCGCGGGAAUACGUAGGGUGCAAGCGUUGUCCGGAAUUAUUGGGCGUAAAGAGCUCGUAGGCGGUUUGUCGCGUCUGCUGUGAAAUCCCGAGGCUCAACCUCGGGCUUGCAGUGGGUACGGGCAGACUAGAGUGCGGUAGGGGAGAUUGGAAUUCCUGGUGUAGCGGUGGAAUGCGCAGAUAUCAGGAGGAACACCGAUGGCGAAGGCAGAUCUCUGGGCCGUAACUGACGCUGAGGAGCGAAAGCAUGGGGAGCGAACAGGAUUAGAUACCCCAGUAGUCCCUGUCUCUUAUAA